UAAGACACUGGACAACUGAUGAAACUGGCACCCACGUUCAAUCCCUUUUCUUUGGAUCACAAUUCAUGGGCCAUUCAACAGCAGAUGAUUUGUUGGAACAUUUCAAGGAAAGCCAUGUGAGCUAUGCAGUAGCAACUUAUCAAAUUUAGGCAAACCCUUGACUGCUUAGGCAAAACUGUGAUUUUGUUCAAACUGCUAUUUUAUUCCUUUUCAUGCUCUUUGCUUCAAUUAUGUUACAGGAAGCAGAAGGAGGAAGAAGGAAAUGAAGGAGAAGAAGAAGGAUGAAGAAGAGGACAAAGAAAUUUAAUUCUCUUGAUGCUUCAUCAAGCGGGCUGCCCUGGCCAUUACUCCAUACAAGCUUGUGGGGCUUGAUGUUACAGACCAGACCAGCAGCUUUGGGUCAAAGGAGGCUGACAUCGGUAUGGGUGCAGCAGCUGCCCUCAAGGGACUGUCAGGGGCCAAAAGCAGUGUAAGCAAGCUUUGUGUCUUGCAGUUUAAGAAAGACUGAGAUUGCCCUCUCAAGCAUCAGCAAGAAGACUUGGGAUAAGUGCCCUAUGAAGUACUCCAUAGUAUGAAACAUGUGCUUAGACCCAAACACAAUGUACUCUGAGCCAGUGGUUGAGACCUUCGUGUUCAAUGAGGCCAAUGCUGUAAACUUCAUGUCCUUCAGUCCACAAGACCAAGGCUCCAAAGUUGAUGUGACACAUCAGCACUUCUUAUCCUGAGCUCUGGAGUUUUUUCAAGAAGUUGCUGCUCUUGUCCCAUGGGCAAGCAGAAGUUGAAUGUGGGUUCUUAGUCAACAAAGAGUAGGAAAGAUGCAACAUAGCAGAGGACACCAUUAUCGCACAGAGACUUGUCUGUGAUCAUGUCAGAGUGUAUGGCGUGGUGACCAAAGUGCCUCUUAAAAAAGAGAUGUUGCACCACUGCGCAACUACACGCACUAGGUACAGACCUUACCUGGACAAGGAAAAAAGCAAAAGGGAAAGGGAUGAGCUGAAGAGAAAGAAUGCUGAAGAAAACUUUGAUAAGCUAAAGAAGAGGAGCAAAUCUAUACCAGAUGUAUAAGUGUAUUUGUCUCCAAAAGGAUGCAGACAACUUUGUAGAAAAGCAGAGAAUACUGCAGGGACCAGAAUGGCAACAGUAAUAACAACCAAAUACAAACAUACUGAGGAGAUGAGCAAAGGAAAAGCGUGAGCAGUUUUUAGUCCUGAAUAGUGAAAUUGAUAAGAAGGCUGCUGAGCUGCAACACAAAUCAUGAGCGACAUGGUGUCCAAGGACAAACAGGGUCAAACAAGUGUAUCUAUUGUUUCUGCCACCAGUUCUGAAAAUGAAACACACCAAGUUUGGUGAAUGAGAAAUGAAAAAUUGAAGAACAUAAGGAUUAUUCCUCCCAGAAAUUACCUCAGCAGACUUUAAGAGUUCUUUGCACUUCUGUAGAACAAGUUUAGAUUGUCAUAUGAGCACAUACAGGUCAAAAGGUUGUAGUGACUGGGUUGUUAGAUUGUCUCUACAGUGCUCUCUUAUGUUUAUUUGAUGGUAAAUGCAGGGGGACAUUGUUUUCCAUUGGAUUGUUAUUUUUGUUAAUGAGAAGGCAGUUAU